GCAGCAACCAGUUUGGAAGGCACAGCAAAAAAAAAGCCAACGUUCGUUAAAAAAAAUAAUAAUUUUAGCAACGGGCCAGCACUAACACACUGACACGGGCUCCACUGCACACGCUCACAACACUACACACACACACACGCACGCCGGCGAAGAAUCUGAGCUGGAGAAUUGAGAACGGAGAACUGAGAAUCUGAAUCUGGGCAGCAAAGAGACGGAGAACUGAUAGCCAAGACGUUGUGAUCGCAACAACGUUCGCCAGCGGACUGAAAAUCGUCGGCGACUGAGCCAGACUUCAGUUACCCGAGGUGGUGGCAACCAGCAUUGUGCGUUAUGCAUGCCGUCCGGCAGUUAAUUCACAGUUUAGCACAAAUUAUUAAAUAUUUGACGGGCCGCAACGAAAGUGAGAGCGGCGUCGUUGGUGAAAAGGCCCUACACUUCCGCCACUGCACACAGAAUGGCUAAUUUAUGCGAUUAUUGGUAAGACGGCAUUGGCAAGACGGCCCAGUUCGGUCGUCUGUCUGUCAUUUUAAUAACUCUUGCAUUGUGGCCAAGCAGAAAUAACACAAAGCCCAGCGAAACGUGUUCGCCGCAGUGAAAGUAAGAGCCAAAGUCAACAGUCACCCGGUAACUGGCAACUGGCAACAGGCAAAAGGCAACAGGUGGUGACCGCGACGGUCAGAAGCCGAAAACGGCAACGGUUCCCAGCGCAUCCCUGGCAAUAGAUGGUGGGGAUGGGGAGAAUCCGAUCCCCAAAUGGCAAGGGGCCAUCGGAUAUCAAAUGCUAUAAAUGAUGUAGCAUGAAGAUUUCUUUUUCGGCGGUAGUCAAAUAUGAUUAUCAAACUAAACUUAUUUAUUCCUCUAAACUUCUUUGCUAAACCAUAAUUUCUGAUUUAUUGGAGCUUAAUAAAAC
ensembl:ncRNA lncRNA:CR44691 long non-coding RNA:CR44691